rnacentral:rRNA from 1 species
GUGUCAGCAGCCGCGGUAAUACGGAGGAUGCAAGCGUUAUCCGGAUUUAUUGGGUUUAAAGGGUGCGUAGGCGGAUCAAUAAGUCAGUGGUGAAACCCUGCAGCUUAACUGUAGACUUGCCAUUGAUACUGUUGGUCUUGAGUAUGGUCAAGGUAGGCGGAAUGUGUAAUGUAGCGGUGAAAUGCUUAGAUAUUACACAGAACACCGAUUGCGAAGGCAGCUUGCUGGGCCAUUACUGACGCUGAUGCACGAAAGCGUGGGGAUCGAACAGGAUUAGAUACCCUGGUAGUCCACGCCGUAAACGAUGAUCACUCGCUGUUAGCGAUACACAGUUAGCGGCUAAGCAAAAGCAUUAAGUGAUCCACCUGGGGAGUACGGCCGCAAGGCUGAAACUCAAAUGAAUUGACGGGG